rnacentral:rRNA from 1 species
GAGUUUGAUCAUGGCUCAGAUUGAACGCUGGCGGCAGGCCUAACACAUGCAAGUCGAGCGGUUGAGGUAGCUUGCUACCGAUGCAGCGGCGGACGGGUGAGUAAUACAUGGGAAUCUGCCUGGUAGUGGGGGACAACGUUUCGAAAGGAACGCUAAUACCGCAUACGCCCUACGGGGGAAAGGGGGGAGUCUUCGGACCUCUCGCUAUCAGAUGAGCCCAUGUCGGAUUAGCUAGUUGGUGGGGUAAAGGCCUACCAAGGCGACGAUCCGUAACUGGUCUGAGAGGAUGAUCAGUCACACUGGAACUGAGACACGGUCCAGACUCCUACGGGAGGCAGCAGUGGGGAAUAUUGGACAAUGGGCGCAAGCCUGAUCCAGCCAUGCCGCGUGUGUGAAGAAGGCC